rnacentral:rRNA from 1 species
CAAUAGCGUAUAUUUAAGUUGUUGCAGUUAAAAAGCUCGUAGUUGAAUGUUGGUGUCGAACGAGCGGUCAGCUUCGGCUGUACUGCUCUCUCGACUCCUUCCUUCUGUGGACUACGUCGCACUUUACUGUGUGGCGCUAGGACGCAGAUCGUUUACUGUGAAAAAAUUAGAGUGUUCAAAGCAGGCCGUACGCUUGAAUACAUUAGCAUGGAAUAAUGGAAUAGGACGUCGGGCCUAUUUUGUUGGUUCUAGGACCGUCGUAAUGAUUAAUAGGGACAGUUGGGGCCGUUUAUAUUCCGUAGUCAGAGGUGAAAUUCUUGGAUUUACGGAAGAUAAACUACUGCGAAAGCAUUCGGCAAGGAUGUUUUCGUUA